rnacentral:rRNA from 1 species
AUUGAACGCUGGCGGCAGGCCUAACACAUGCAAGUCGAGCGGGGUUUUCGGACCUAGCGGCGGACGGGUGAGUAAUGCGUAGGAAGCUGCCCGAUAGAGGGGGAUACCAGUUGGAAACGACUUUUAAUACCGCAUAAUGUAUACGGACCAAAGUGUGGGACCUUCGGGACACAUGCUACCGGAUGCACCUCCGUGGGAUUAGCGAGUUGGUGAGCAAAUGGCUCACCAAGGCGACGAUCUCUAGCUGGUUUGAGAGGGUGAUGAGCCACACUGGAACUGAGACACGGUCCAGACUCCUACGGGAGGCAGAAGUGGGGAAUAUUGGACAAUGGGCGCAAGCCUGAUCCAGCCAUGCCGCGUGUGUGAAGAAGGCCUUCGGGUUGUAAAGCACUUUCAGCGAGGAGGAAGGGUGGUGUGUUAAUAGCACAUCAUUUUGACGUUACUCGCAGAAGAAGCACCGGCUAACUCUGUGCCAGCAGCCGCCGUAACAC